rnacentral:lncRNA from 1 species
CCUACAUUACAUUAGAAUCCAAACAUCAUCAUCCUACAUUACAUUAGAAUCCAAACAUCAUCAUCCUACAUUACAUUAGAAUCCAAACAUCAUCAUCCUACUAAUUGCAACAUAACUGCAAACACCGAAAACAAGCAAGUUACACCAUCUGCAAUAUUAAAAUAUUUCAAGUAUCAAUUUAUUAACCUUAUAUCUCAAAAAUAUUAAAAAAUUAACUUUAUAUAAAACUUACCCAUCAUCACUCAUCUGUGAUUUUACAUACAAAUUCUGCCCACUCUAUCCUUACUUCAUCAAUUUCCUUUUUGGAGUAGCAUCCUCCU